rnacentral:tRNA from 1 species
GGGGGUGUUCAGGUCACUAAGAGGCCCGGAAAUGCGGGAAAAGCGGGCCGGUGAGUGUCGUUCGGGACGAGGGGGUCGCAGGUUCGAAUCCUGCCACUCCGACCA